GGCUCGGACCCGCCGGGGCUGCGGAUCCCGGCGCGGCUGAGCUGAGGGCUGGGCACUGCCGCUUCCCAGCAGGACCGCUGGCUGGUGUGCGGAGCCUGUGCCCGCGGAACCCAAGCAGCCUGGGAGGCUAGACUGAGCGCGGUGGAAAGAAGCCAGCAGCUUUUCUCCAGGCCACGGCGUUCGCAUCCGAACAGGAGAGCCAUCCCUGGUCAGCUCAGGGACAGUCCAGGGCCCGUGGCUGUCUAGGACCCAGCCAGCGCAGUAGCCUGGAGUCCAGGUUUUUUAGGCUCCGGAGACUCUGAUGUGUUUGCAGUCCGUUCGUUUAUCAGGUAUACACACCCUCGGAGCACCCCUCACGCGCUGCUUGAUAUGCAAAGAAGAGGAGCUCCAGGUCCCAGGUCAGAGAGGGGCGUCACACAGUAAGUAGUCCAGGGGGCUGUUGCCCCAGUUUGGAGCUGGGACCCCUCCUGACUCAGGUAAGAUGUGUCCCUGGAGAUCUCUGAGCCUCGGGUAAGGUGGGCGCUUCGGGUCACCAAGUGGGCUCUGCCCCACUUAGGAGGGGGUGGGCUGUUGGUUUCCAAGUUUUUAGACUCAGUCUCCUGGUCGGAAGGUCCCCCAAGUAUUGGCUGCCCCUGUACCCUGAUGCCAAAUAGAAACACGGAGAUGGAGGUGGAAGACACAGAAAAAGGAGCUUGAAUUUCCAGGCAAAGAGGGGACUUCAAGGACUGGGACCCCCCACCUGCAGGAGGUGGUGCAGUCUUGGCGUGUUCAAGGAUGGGCGACUUCUUAAUGAUGCCAUCCGGCCCAGCACAGCUCACGGCAACGCCGGAUCGUUAACCCACUGAGCAAGGGCAGGGAUCGAACCCGCAACCUCAUGGUUCCUAGUCGGAUUCGUUAACCACUGCGCCACGAUGGGAACUCCCAGGUUCCCAGGCUAGGGGGUCUAAUUGGAGCCGUAGCCGCCAGCCUAUGCCAGAGCCACAGCAGCGCAGGGUCCAAGGCGAGUCUGCACCACAGCUCACGGCAACGCCGGAUCCUUAACCCACUGAGCGAGGCCAGGGAUCAAACCACAGCCUCAUGUUCCUAGUCGGGUUCGUUUCUGCUGCGCCAUAGUGGAAACUCCAUAAACGACUCGUUAUGUGAAGUUUCAUGCCACUGUGCUCAGAGAAGAUACUUGAAAUGAUUUCUGUAGUCUUAGAUUUGUUGAGAAGGUCUGUCCGAAGAUGUGAGAGGGGUGUUAAAGUCUCCUACUGUGAUUGUGCUCCCGUGGAUUCCUCCUUUUACGGCUGUUAGUAUUUGCCAGUCUCUUGGAGACAGCAGAUUGCAGGCUCUUGUUUCUUUAUCCAAUCUGCCACUCUGCGUCUUUUGACUGGAGCAUUCAGUCCAUUGACAUUUAAGAUCUGCCCCCUGGGCCCUCUGCUCCAAGGUGCCUCAGGUCGGGCCGAGGACACAGGUGUCCCUUCAGCACAGGAUGCGGGCCUGCGGCCUGGUUGGGUGGCAGUGUGUUUCGAAUGCUUGAGGGGUCCCCUGGGUUUUGAGAUGCCUGUUGUUUGUCCAGAGGCAGGAGCCGAGCCCCACACAGGCUCUGAGUCUAUGGCGCCAGGGUACGGAGGCCUGAAGGAAGCUGGGGCUAGUGAAAGUUCUCACGGAGUUCCCUGGUGGCUGCCAGGCUUAAGAGUCUCUCCCGGUGUCACUGCGGUGGCUGUGGGAAGAGCCGCAUUGGGAGAUCCAACCCUGGCCAGAGAGCAUGCCAAUGUGGCAGGUGGCGCCCAAAUAAAUGUAUGAAUAAAAAGAGAUAU
ensembl:lncRNA